UUUUCUUUUUUAAAAAUUUGUUCUUUUUAGUUAAACAUACAAUAGAUUGUAUUUUGACAUAUUAUCCAUACAUGGAGUAUAACUUCCCAUUCUUGUGGCUGUACAUGGUGACAGAGAGGGCUGGUAUGAACAAUAAAUCAAAGCCCAGAGGUGGAAGACAGUGCAGGAGAGGGAAGGAGGUGACAGGGGAAGCUUGGGGUGGGUGUGGCUAGGAGAAGUGCUCCCCGAGGCAGAGAGAGGCAGCUGCCCCUGCGCCAAGAGGGAACUUGGACAAAAAUGCUCCUGUCCUGGGGUGCUCAGGUGGGAGGCAGAAAGGCCUGCCAGGGCUCUGCCCUCAGACUCCACCUUAAGUUCUGCGAAGGCUGUGUUCCUUCCGCCCAGUUAUUCUUUAGGUCACAAUUUCUCAGGUCCUGGCCACUUUCUUUUCUUGUGACUUUUGUGAGGAACUAAUUUUUUUCUCUACCAUUUGUAAAAUGGGGGAUAGCUCACAAGGUUUCUGUGAGAAAUAAACGAAAUUAUAUUUGCUAACACUUGUUUCAUUGCUUAUCUAUGUGAGUUUUCUCCUUGCCAACAAAACAAAAAACAAAACAAACAAAAAACCAAUGAUACUUGAGAUUUGAACAGUUAGUAGGAGAAGCAAGAGCAGUUUGGGGGUAGUAUCCAUCUUCCCCCUAAUCAUCGACAGUCUCCUACUACUUGCCAUCUUACGCUCUCUUAAAGGCUGUGAAAAUGCAGCCUCAAGGCAAGUUCUGGAGGCAUCUUGCAACAAGAUUGCCAUCCCCCAGCUCCUCAUUUGUAGAAAUUGUGGAGCUUCCAUUGCACGUAGUGUUUUACAGUUACAGAUGUGGCCUUGCACUUGCUGUUGGGUCUGUUUUUAUCUCCUGUGUUAUCCCUCACUGGUCCUCAAAGAUGCUGACUCAAGCGACCUGAUUUCUGCCCACAGGAUGUCUGACCUGAAAGCAUGUCGCUGUCCACAACAGGAGAGCAGAAGAACAGGAAGCAGCUCAUUCCAAGAUCAGAGCUGCAGGAAGGACCCAGGUCUCUGGGCUGUGGCCCUGAAGUCAGGCUCUGUCGGCACAGGAACUGCUGUUCCCUGCAGCCUUCCCACACAGGGUUGGGGAGAUGCAAACUGCCACAAGCGUGUCUUGCUUUUCUGUUAGAGUAAGAUGACUGUAAGGUUGAUGUGGUUAAUAUUUCAUUUUCAGGGCCAGGGUGCUGGCUGGGAGGACCAGGCAAAUCAACUGACAGUCAUGGAGGAAGAUAUGUUUAUUGGCUUCGUCGGGAACGGAAGGACAAAUGAAAGAUUUGAGGGCAGGAGGGACCUCAGCGAGUCUUCUAAUCCCUGUUUCAGCCUUCACUCAGCCAUGUUCUCAAGCAGAGAGCUGCUUUACCUGUUCUUCAAACAUGUUCCUUAAAUUUACCUUCCAUUUCUUUUUUUAAUUUAAUUUUAACUGAUACAUAAAAUUGUACAUAUCGAUGGGGUACUAUGUGAUAUUUUGAUACCUGUAUAUUCU
rnacentral:lncRNA from 1 species